UCCGAUGUAUCCUAUAUCCCAGGAUUCAUUGCGGGUCAUAGAGGAGAUUUGUUUCUGAUAACGAUGGUGGUCAAAGCGGGAGAGGAAAACACUUUCAAAUGACAAUUCUGGAGAAGAUGGGCCUGCAGGGGAAAGUCACCCCCUUGCAGGCCAGAAGACAUGAGAUAACUUUAAAGAAUACAAAGAUUGCAAGUAUCCAGGCUCAGGAGAGGGGGUCAGUGGGAAGCCCACUGCUGCUACUUGGCCCUGGUUUGCCCUCAUGGAUGAGGUGAUAGGACAGAGGCCUUCCAUUAAACGUCCUGUCCUAAUGUCCUCUCUCCCUGAGGACACUCC